UCAACCAAUCACAACCCAGAUCUCUUCUCACACUUCGCUGGGUCAAGUAGGGGGGAGCAGACCUCCAAACUAGGUGUGGAGUCGUCGACAUAUAAGCUUUCUAGAAGAUGUUCACUUCUUCUUCUACCCUUCACAGGACGAUGUUGUGGUGUCUUGUCCUGCUGGGAAUCCUGAGAACGGCGUACGGAGCAUGUGGAGGACAAAUCUCAACGCGCACCAGCACGUCGUUCAACAGCCUGGACUACCCCCAGCCGUACCAGACUAACGAGGACUGCAUGUGGACGCUGUCUGUCUUCGGCUCUAACGUCGCCAUCAAGCUGAGCUUUGAGGAGAUCGACAUCGACCCUUACCCCUCCCACAUCACCACGCCGGGCUCCUGCAGCAGGCACUAUCUGGAGAUAUACGAGGGCAACCCUACAUCCGGGACAAAGUUAGGAACGUUCUGCGGCAGGGUCCUUCCUCCGAUUAUGAUCGCAAACGGCAACACCAUGACGGUCAAGUUCAUCACUACCGGCUUCUCCAACAAUAACUACAGGGGCUUCUUGGCAACCUUUUCGUCGGUAUCACUAAGUUCUGGCCCUGACUCGGGUUGCAACAACCUUCGGCAACUCUCGGCUCCGAGCGGCUCUAUCGCCUCUAUUAACUACCCUGACGACUACAGCAGCAGCACGCAGUGUGAGUGGGAGAUCACCGUGGCCCAGAACAAACACGUGGAACUCAACGUGCUCAACUUCCUAGUGGGCGGCCUCGCGGCAACUUGUGUGAACGAGACCAACGACUAUCUGUCCGUGUACGAAGGCAUUGGCGUCAACCGGAAACGUUUGGAAGUUUACUGCGGAUGGGAGUCACGCAGUGUGAGAGCUUACUCCAACCAAAUGUUCGUAAAAUUCGUGUCGGACGACUUUAUCAACAAAAAGGGCUUCUUUGCGACGUACCGUUCAGUAGGUUGACCAAACGACAGGAUGGACUACCGAACGGCGCUGUCUGUGUUACUUGUCCUUAACUGUGCAUCCUGGAUCGCCGGUGAUCAGCAGUGUGGUGGUGAUUAUCAUACAAGCAACUAUGACACAAUCUCGUCCCCAGGAUUCCCUGGAGCAUACACCCCUGGGGACGACUGCAUCUGGCACCUCAGCGUACCAGAAGGUCACCUGGUCCAGCUGACGUUUGCGUACCUGGGAACCGAUCCCUGGCCCCUUGCCCCACAGAACUGUGCCCGUCACUACGUGGAGGUGUUCGACUCUCCAGAACAGGGAGGAGCUCUUCUCGGCCGGUACUGUGGAGAUAUCAUCCCUCCCGUGGUCCUGUCCUCCGGGAACUCUCUGUCAGUCAAGUUCAUCACCAGCAGGUGGUCCACAAACAUCCAGGGCUUCCACGGGUUCAAGGCCAAGUUUGCCAGCGUUCUGGCGGGAAGCAUUGUUGAGAGCGGCUGUCGCAGUCCUCGGAAGAAUACCUACCCAACCGGAACUCUGACGUCCAUCCACUUCCCGUCAGACUAUGAUGACAUCGUGUGUAAGUGGGAGGUUCUGGUGGAACCUGGACAGAACAUCACUCUCAAACUCCGCAGCUUCCAUGUGGGAGGAAUCUUCCCGCUAAAGCCACUGUGUGAUGCUGAAACUGGCAGACUCACUGUGCAUGAUGGAGUAGGCAGUGACAAGAACCAUCUCGUGUCGAUCUGCGGCAGAAUGUCGGAAGAGGAGACGUACUCAGUGACAACAGCGACCAAUCAGAUGACAGUGGAAUUCAGGGCGGGAAACACGGGACCGUACAAGGGCUUCUUCGCAACGUAUGAAUCGUCUGGUUACCAAGUCAUGGAUCCUGCCUCUACUGCCCCAAUGACAGGAAGUGCUCAUACCUUACGGGCGUACUUCCCAUGGUGCCUUUUGUGUCUGUUGGCAGCGGCCAUCUCGUUCCUGCACAUGAGCUUAUAACUGAACUGAUCUGUACAUACAUGUAAUGCAUUUAUUGCCAACAGCAGUACUGUAGUGUUAAUCAUGUACAGCUACAUUAAGCAUUCAAGAGUAGAGACUAUUACAUUGCCAUCAUUGCAAUUUUCCUGGUAGAGUUUUAGUCCAUGCUUUGGGCUGACAUUAAUCAAUGACCAUAAAACAUGACAAGUCUUUUGACACAAAUUAAAUGAUUUACAUAAUAUAUAUUACAAUAAACAAGUCCAUGUGGUACAUAUACAUGGAUUUCAAUGCCUUGAUUUAAGAAAAAGACAGUUGAAAUCAUUUUACGUGAACUUUUGACAAAACAGCUCUUGUAUAUAUCCAAGAAGUGUCACCAUGUAACCCAGCUAUGUCAUGACUGCCCAGGUUUUUGCUUGAUAUCAUGAUAACUGUUUUUGCUGUUUUCUUGUGGAGCUGUUUGUACAUAUGUGUGAAGAGAUCAUAUUAUGUAAAUAGCUACCUAGAUUUGUGAUAUAGAUAUGGCAUUCAGUGAAUGGAGGAUUAGAGUGUGAGGUACAAGACAUCUAUCGCUGUUAAUGUCUAUCUUUUCUGAUGAACAUGAUCUCAAGGUGCUGUCUCUUCUAGGUGCUCUUAGGUGAAGUCCUUGUGGUGCUCUAUUGCCUUUCUCAGAGAAAACUUCUUGGCUUUACCAAAUGCACAAUUUCUACUGGUACUGUUAGUUGGAACAUGACAAGAUGUAGUUCUUGUCUCAAUCACACAGAGGCGCUGUUGCACAGCAUUUUGUGAUGAAAUACUUGGUGCAAGGAGACAGUGACAGUACCCUUUCAAUGAAAUUCACCUUGAAGAUAAAUUCUUUGCUGUCUUGCAAACAAUGAUUUUCAAAGAUUCUCCCCUGGUCAUGUUCUAGAAACUGGCUACAAUGUAAUUGUUGUACAUAUAACAUAUUUAUAGUGUCUCUUAUAAUGCCUUAUAAUGUCUUUUGUAAAUAGACAAUUGUUGCCUUUAAUUCAGUGAUAUUUUUGAUUGUGAAAUCAUUCAUAAUUUUGAACGGUGAUAUUUGUGUGAAAUUUUCAGGAUGAAGGGAAGUUCUUGUAUCAUACAGUGGAGGGAAAUGGUUCAAUAACUCAGAAGGCUGAUGGAUAAUUAUUAAUCUUAUGAACUGUGAUCAUUGUAAAUCAAUUGUAAAUUUGACAAAAGAAAUGAUUGCUGAUGUUGUAUGUUUGUUUUGUUUUGUUUGGGGCGAAUA